CAAGUCUUAGCCUGGAUAGUUGCAGUGAUUAGAUAUUUUUAGUACAUGAGAGUCAGUCAGAUGAGAUUAUGCACUGAUUAUACCUUUUGGUGUUGCUUUUGCAAUUACUCGACUGACAUAUGGUUUGGUAGAGGUCUACACGACAUUAUGCCCCCUCGAAAAUUACAUCGCGAUAAUUUUGGCCACGAAGGGUGGUAUAGCAUUGCUCAUGUUUUGGGCACCGUUGGUGGUCUUCCGAUGUUUUGACAUGGUUGAACGUGCCAGUAUCAACCCUUGUUUCGAAAUAUAUGUAUAUGCAUUUACGUUGACAGAGUUUGUGUUACUUGUUUCGGGAAUUGUUUGGUGUUUAGGAGACUAUAGAGACAUGAAGUCAACCUGCCAUUUAACCGAUCCAAACUGGAGCGUACACUUUGCAAACUUCGUCAUCUCCCAGACUAUUAUAGACAGUAUAACAUGGAUUGGAACAAUAUUUGCACUUUGUUUCUGUAUGUUUGACAGUCGUUUCUAAAGGUAUAACGACACGAAUAAGCCUUAAGCACAAGCCAGCGAUAUUAAAGAACAUUUUUCUGGAGUGCGAUUACUUAUCCUGGAAUUUCAAAGCAUCAACGAUCAAACUGGUGACAUUAUUCAUUAUUAAAUUUAAAAUAAUUUUUAAUAUGUUAAAAUUAAGUAAAGUUAGACCAGUUGGAUGGCAUAAUCUAUGUAAAUGAAGCACAAGAGAAUGAAGUGGUUAUUUCUAUUGUGUAGUAUUUAUGGUAUCUAUGGCUAUCCGAAUUGUUUUGUAUAAAUUUGAUAAACACUUUACUAAGACAUUUUGAGAGUUUUAUGCCGGUGAAUUCUUUUGUUACUGUAACCUGGAAUAUACUAUUUAGUGGUAUAUUAUAGACAGUAAAAAUAAUGUCCAUGGUUUAAACAAUGAAGUACAUUUAAACUGACUAAAUUUCACAUACUGAAUUAACUUAUUUAAAAGUCAUCGGUUGUGCAUUCCAUUAAUAAAAAUUGAUUAUAAUUGUUGUCAUGUUCCUGAAUUGAAAAACUCUUUAGACGAUUUUGUCGUCUCGGAGUCAAAAGUUUAUAGUGAGUUAACAUGUUGUUUGAAUAAGGAAAAUGUCUUAUGUAAGUGUUGUUGUUGCAAUUGGUUUAUUGGUACAUGUUGUAAAGACACCGCACGCAAGAAGUUGUUGCAGUUUUUCUUUGUUUAUAUAAAUAACAUAUUUCAAAGUCGUA